rnacentral:rRNA from 1 species
AGUGAACGCUGGCGGUAGGCCUAACACAUGCAAGUCGAACGGCAGCACAGGAGAGCUUGCUCUCUGGGUGGCGAGUGGCGGACGGGUGAGGAAUACAUCGGAAUCUACUUUUUCGUGGGGGAUGACGUAGGGAAACUUACGCUAAUACCGCAUACGACCUACGGGUGAAAGCAGGGGAUCUUCGGACCUUGCGCGAUUGAAUGAGCCGAUGUCGGAUUAGCUAGUUGGCGGGGUAAAGGCCCACCAAGCCGACGAUCCGUAGCUGGUCUGAGAGGAUGAUCAGCCACACUGGAACGGAGACACGGUCCAGACUCCUACGGGAGGCAGCAGUGGGGAAUAUUGGACAAUGGGCGCAAGCCUGAUCCAGCCAUACCGCGUGGGUGAAGAAGGCCUUCGGGUUGUAAAGCCCUUUUGUUGGGAAAGAAAUCCAGCUGGUUAAUACCCGGUUGGGAUGACGGUACCCAAAGAAUAAGCACCGGCUAACUUCGUGCCAGCAGCCGCAGUAA